CCAGAUAAAUCGGAAAAGACAUUAAUCGCUUUUCUUUAAAGAGGGUUAGCGGAGCGGCGUGGGGAGAUUGUGUUUGGGAAUCAAAUCAAGGAUGUCGGAUCCAUACGAGCGGGUGAAAGGAGGAAGAUUAGCAUUCAAAGGAGGAACCCUGGCCACUCGCACCGAUAAUCCUAAGAAGAGAAAGAAAGGGAAGAAGAAGAAGGACAAGAACCCUAACGACGAAGACGAAACCCUGAUAGUCAUAGAUAAACAGGGUGAUGGAUCCGAAUCAGCAGCAGCAGCAGCAGCAGAAGGGGAAGAGGAAGAGGCGUACACGAUUGAUGCGGCGAAGCGAAUGAAAUACGAACAACUCUUCCCGGUUGAAGCCAAGAAGUUCGGUUACGAACCCAAAACCAAAACCAAAACCAACUCCAAGUCCGUUGAGGAGGCCCUCGAUGAUCGCGUCAAGAAGAAGGCUGAUCGUUACUGCAAAUGAAUUUUUAUUUGUUUGUUACCCGCCGCACCCAUUGAUAACACCAUCCAUUAUCAGACUUACUCCUAUUCAUAGUUGCCCUUUAGGUUGUGGUGCAAUGGAGCAGUUGAGCAUGCAUCACCAACCAUUUGCGGCCAUUGUAUUGUAUUCUGCUUCAUAAUUUGGAUACACUUUAGAGCUCUGAAUAUUUUGAAGGAAUCAAUGUUCUGAAUAUGCUAUAGUUUCAUUCAUCUCUGUCUCAGAUGUAGUGAUUAGCUCUCUUGACUUUUAAUCUAAUAAUGUAUCACUAUCACUUGCAGUAUGUACAAAUUAAAAUUACGAUGGAGGAACUAGUUUGGAGGUGUAUGGUGAAUUUGUUUCUUAUUCAGGAUUGUAGGCAAAUUAGUAGACUUUCAUAAUUUCUCUGUUAGAAGGUAA